CUUGACCGAGCCGAGCCACAGCGGGCGGCCGUGCGGCCGGUCCUGGCCGUACGUGGCCAGCAGCGCCUGCGCCUC
rnacentral:antisense_RNA from 1 species